UAGAGAAUGGUGUAGUGGAAGCACUAAGAGUUUUGAAUUCUUCGGCUUGGGAUCGAAUCCCUUUUUUCUAA
rnacentral:tRNA from 1 species